rnacentral:rRNA from 1 species
AGAGUUUGAUCCUGGCUCAGGAACGAACUCUGGCGGCGCGUUUUAAGCAUGCAAGUCGAGCGGCAAGGGUACUUCGGUACCCCUAGAGCGGCGGACGGGUGAGUAACACGUGGAUAACCUGCCCCCGGGUGCGGGAUAGCCCAGGGAAACCUGUAUUAAUACCUCGUAAGACCACGCUCUGACGGGAGAGUGGGAAAAGGCGCUUCGGCGUCGCCUGGGGAUGGGUCCGCGUCCCAUUAGCUAGAUGGUAGGGUAAGAGCCUACCAUGGCGACGAUGGGUAGCCGGCCUGAGAGGGUGAACGGCCACACUGGAACUGAGACACGGUCCAGACUCCUACGGGAGGCAGCAGCUAAGAAUCUUCCGCAAUGGGCGCAAGCCUGACGGAGCGACGCCGCGUGGGCGAGGAAGGCCGCAAGGUUGUAAAGUCCUUUUCGGGAAGGGGAAUAAGAGUGAUAGGCAAUGAUCACUUGAUGACAUGAAUCCCGGAAUAAGCCCCGGCUAACUACGUGCCAGCAGCCGCGGUAACACGUAGGGGGCGAGCGUUGUUCGGAAUCAUUGGGCGUAAAGGGCGCGCAGGCGGCGUGUAAAGUCUGGCGUGGAAGUCCCCGGCUCAACUGGGGGAUUGCGUUGGAAACUGGCACGCUUGAGUACGACAGGGGAUGGCGGAAUUCCAGGUGUAGGGGUGAAAUCUGUAGAUAUCUGGAGGAACACCAAUGGCGAAGGCAGCCAUCUGGAUCAGUACUGACGCUGAGGCGCGAAGGUGCGGGGAGCAAACAGGUUUAGAUACCCUGGUAGUCCGCACAGUAA